rnacentral:rRNA from 1 species
CGGUGGAGCAUGUGGUUAAUUCGAAGCAAGGCGAAGAACCUUACCAGGUCUUGACAUCCCCUGACAACCCGAGACGAUCGGGCGGUUCCCCCUUCGGGGGGACAGGGUGACAGGUGGUGCAUGGUUGUCGUCAGCUCGUGUCGUGAGAUGUUGGGUUAAGUCCCGCAACGAGCGCAACCCUCGACCUUAGUUGCCAGCAUUCAGUUGGGCACUCUAAGGUGACUGCCGGCUAAAAGUCGGAGGAAGGUGGGGAUGACGUCAAAUCAUCAUGCCCCUUAUGACCUGGGCUACACACGUGCUACAAUGGGCGGUACAAAGGGUCGCGAACCCGCGAGGGGGAGCCAAUCCCAAAAAGCCGCUCUCAGUUCGGAUUGCAGGCUGCAACUCGCCUGCAUGAAGCCGGAAUCGCUAGUAAUCGCGGAUCAGCAUGCCGCGGUGAAUACGUUCCCGGGCCUU